UUAAUUUAACAUGUGAGUGUAAUAGGAAGAAAAGGGAAGAAGAAGAACGAGUAGAACAAGUAGAAGAAGAAUAAGAGGCAGAAGAAGUAGAAAAAGAAUUUACCUGGUAAUUGUAGAAUUGUUGUUUUUUCUCAAACAAAAAGAACAAAAUCUUAAACGGCAGUGCACUAUUAGAAGGUCUGUCUGUCAGUAUCUCCUGAGCUUUUGCAGCCUGUACAUUAUCCCGACAGUGAAGCAUUAACCGAAAACAACCGCGGAGAUGAGGAAAAACACAGAAGAGAAAGAAGAAAAAGGAGAAAACGAAGAGGAACACGAGGAGGAUGAAGAUGAAUCAGUAGCAUCGAUUUGUUGGUGGAAGACUACAGAAUACUUGAACUAUAUGCAGUAACUCUGACACUGUCAGGAAAUAAACUUUGGAAGAAAUCCUACCUGAAGAACUGCAGCAGUAGAAAGUAGUACAUCAUGAUAUUAUGAUUUUUUUUUUUUUGUCUGCAUAAUGGAAAACUGGUCUGGAUUUUUGUGAGUGAAAGUCAGAAAUGGGAUGGUGU
rnacentral:lncRNA from 1 species